rnacentral:RNase_P_RNA from 1 species
AGGAAAGUCCGGGCUUCACAGGGCAGGAUGCCGGAUAACGUCCGGUGGAGGCGACUCCAAGGCCAGUGCAACAGAAAUAAACCGCCGGUUUUACCGGUAAGGGUGGAAAGGCGGGGUAAGAGCCCACCGUCGUCAUGGUAACAUGACGAGCCAUGUAAACCCCAUCCGAAGCAAGACCAUAUUGUCAGCUAUGCGGCUGCCCGUCGCGCUGCAGGUAGGUCGCUAGAGCCUGGUGGCAACAUCAGGACCAGAAAGAUGAUCAUCUGAUACAGAACCCGGCUUAUAGUGCUGCUCA